UACGGAGGGUGCGAGCGUUGUCCGGAUUUAUUGGGUUUAAAGGGUGCGUAGGUGGCUGUUUAAGUCAGUGGUGAAAUCUCCGAGCUUAACUCGGAAACUGCCAUUGAUACUAUAGAUCUUGAAUUAUCUGGAGGUAAGCGGAAUAUGUCAUGUAGCGGUGAAAUGCUUAGAUAUGACAUAGAACACCAAUUGCGAAGGCAGCUUACUACGGAUCGAUUGACACUGAGGCACGAAAGCGUGGGGAUCAAACAGG
rnacentral:rRNA from 1 species